rnacentral:ncRNA from 1 species
GGAACCGUCUAAAGGAAGUUGGAGCGCAAAACUAUGAGCCGACGAACAGAAACAGCAUAUAAGGCCUGGUCUCCGGGUAAGCCAGCACAACAUGUCAAAGCCCAGGAUUCAGGAGACAGGGUUAAAGCAUGUUAAGCGGCCGCAUUGCAAAAUCACGGUGCUGAC